ACAAUCAAAACCAAAAAGAAAAGAAAGCUAUUGCCAAAUGCCAGCGUACGACAUCAUUGGUUCAUAUAAUUACGUACCAGUGAUAAUGGCAGUGAUAAAACGGAGAUCAGGGCAAGUCUCAGUAACUUCCUCGGCCGUGGAUUUCGACCCGAACCCGCUUGCUCCUCUUGAACCGAUCAGGUACUUCACGGUUUCUAGCAUUUUUUUCUACCCAAAAGUAGGAUAUAAUUAUUAAGAGAUGAUCAAAGUACUUAAGAGCUAGCUUUUGUUUGAUUUUGUAUUUAAAGAAAAAGAUCAGGUAAAUUAUUGGACAGGAACUGUUUGACGACGACAGAGAUCGAAAGUAGAGGAAUUUUAUAAUGGAGAUUUGGUGGAGAGUAUCAAAUUUGCAAAAGAAAUAUAUAAUGCGUUACAUGUUGAUUAAUGAUAAUUAAAUUAUGCAGGGUUUAUUUUUCCUAAGUUUUUAUACUUAAAAGAGGAUGGAU
rnacentral:lncRNA from 1 species